GACGAACGCUGGCGGCGUGCCUAAUACAUGCAAGUCGAACGCUUUUUCUUUCACCGGAGCUUGCUCCACCGAAAGAAAAAGAGUGGCGAACGGGUGAGUAACACGUGGGUAACCUGCCCAUCAGAAGGGGAUAACACUUGGAAACAGGUGCUAAUACCGUAUAACACUAUUUUCCGCAUGGAAGAAAGUUGAAAGGCGCUUUUGCGUCACUGAUGGAUGGACCCGCGGUGCAUUAGCUAGUUGGUGAGGUAACGGCUCACCAAGGCAACGAUGCAAAGCCGACCUGAGAAGGUGAUCGGCCACACUGGGACUGAGACACGGCCCAGACUCCUACGGGAGGCAGCAGUAGGGAAUCUUCGGCAAUGGACGAAAGUCUGACCGAGCAACGCCGCGUGAGUGAAGAAGGUUUUCGGAUCGUAAAACUCUGUUGUUAGAGAAGAACAAGGAUGAGAGUAGAACGUUCAUCCCUUGACGGUAUCUAACCAGAAAGCCACGGCUAACUACGUGCCAGCCGCCGCAGUAA
rnacentral:rRNA from 1 species